UAGGGAAUCUUCCGCAAUGGACGCAAGUCUGACGGAGCAACGCCGCGUGAGUGAAGAAGGAUUUCGGUUCGUAAAACUCUGUUGUUAGAGAAGAACAGCGCAUAGAGUAACUGUUAUGCGUGUGACGGUAUCUAACCAGAAAGCCACGGCUAACUACGUGCCAGCAGCCGCGGUAAUACGUAGGUGGCAAGCGUUGUCCGGAUUUAUUGGGCGUAAAGCGAGCGCAGGCGGUCAAUUAAGUCUGAUGUGAAAGCCCCCGGCUCAACCGUGGAGGGUCAUUGGAAACUGGAAAACUUGAGUGCAGAAGAGGAAAGUGGAAUUCCAUGUGUAGCGGUGAAAUGCGCAGAGAUAUGGAGGAACACCAGUGGCGAAGGCGACUUUCUGGUCUGUAACUGACGCUGAUGUGCGAAAGCGUGGGGAUCAAACAGG
rnacentral:rRNA from 1 species